rnacentral:misc_RNA from 1 species
UUGUCUUUCGCGAAACGACCUAGUCAACCAAUCAAGGACAACCUUCCACGCAUUACCCAGAGUGUUUGGCUUUCUUGUCAUAUUUAUUUAGUCCCUUCCAUGUUCGAGAGGUGCAAGGAAAAACUAGAGAUGAGAGCUGACGUCAAGAUUCAAGGGCGGUGGUUCAGGUUCUCUUUAACUGUAUUACAUCUCGUUUUGAUAAUUGCAUGUAUUUCUGUUGCAGCGCCUCUAAUAGGCUACACCAACUCCUUUUGCAAUGCCACAAUUGGUGAGUGCCAUGAAGAAACUAUGUAUGUGGAAUCCGACGUGUGUUCAAUUCCUCAAUUCAGCAGCCAACAGACGACAUAUAUUUCUUAUGGUAGUUUUGGAAGGCAGCCAAUUUGCAAUGGAAAAAUAUAUGGCAAUUGCUUAAGACCCGCGGGCAGUAACAAGAGUCGGUCUUGCACUUACUACACGAGAUGCAGGGUUGUUGGAUGAUUAUAAGGAAGCCCAGACGUCUGGAGGCAAGGUUUGCAGUUCUAUGUAAUUGUGCUGAGAAUAAAAUUUCCAUUUAUUAAUUUUGUACUCUAUAAUUUGUAAAAGAAGAAAACCAAAAGCGCUUGCUUAGCAGAUGAUGUUCUUCCUGUUUUUUUUUUACCCCUCAUAUAUGAUGUUCCAGUUGUAUUGUUUUCUUUCUCAGAGGUGGAGAAUCAUCGGAGCUAGGAAGGUCAGGUCCCCCAAAAUUGUCGCAGUAAUAAUAAUAAUAAUAAUUUGUGGUAUAUAAAAUUAAUUUUGUUUGAAAUUUAUUCAUUGGCUCCAAAAUAAUUUAUGAUUUAUAUUUUUAAAAAGAAAUAAAUAACAUUAUCCAUAUUUAAUAAUUGUAAAAAUGUAUAGUUUUUGUAUAGAAAAAAUGUCAUUCAAUUAAUUGAAUGGUCAUACUACAUCAACAAUUAAUAAUAAUGAUAUCGGAAAAUUAUGAUUUAACCUUAUAGCAUAAGACAAGUCUCUUGAAACACUUUGGAGGAUUCCUUCUGUACAACUCUUGACGUCUCAAUUUUUUUUUUCUAGAAAAGUUCUACAUCAC